GACGAACGCUGGCGGCGUGCCUAAUACAUGCAAGUCGAACGCAGUGGGGACGUGUUAGUAACACGUGGGUAACCUCCCAUCAGAGGGGAUAACACUUGGAAACAGGUGCUAAACCGAUACUGAUUGAUGGACCCGCUGUUCAUUAGCUAGUUGGUGAGGUAGCGGCUCACGAAGGCCACGAUGAAUAGCCGAACUGAGAGGGUGAUCGACCACAAUGGUACUGAGACACGGCCCAGACUCCUACGGGAGGCAGCAGUAGGGAAUCUUCGGCAAUGGACGAAAGUCUGACCGAGCAACGCAGCGUGAGUGAAGAAGGUUUUCGGAUCGUAAAACUCUGGUGUUAGAGAAGCGGUAUCUAACCAGAAAGCCACGGCUAACUACGUGCCAGCAGACGCGGUAAUUC
rnacentral:rRNA from 1 species